UCGGGCUGGUGAGGAAACAUUUGUUUUGGAAUCGGAGCCAAGACUGAAUUCCCGGGGAUUUCUGGCGCGGUCGUGUCCAAGUGUCUGGUUACACAUGAAUUCCCAGAGGAGAGAAUGGGCGCGGAGGAGCUUUAGAAACACCCGUGUCUGAUACCUUCGAAGAUUCUGAUUUAACUGAUCUGUGGUGGGGCCUGGGCGAUGGCACUUGUAUAAAUUCUGCAGGUGAAGCAGGUUUAAGAA